rnacentral:tmRNA from 1 species
GGGGCUGAUUCUGGAUUCGACGGGAUUUGCGAAACCCAAGGUGCAUGCCGAGGGGCGGUUGGCCUCGUAAAAAGCCGCAAAAAAUAGUCGCAAACGACGAAAACUACGCUUUAGCAGCUUAAUAACCUGCUUAGAGCCCUCUCUCCCUAGCCUCCGCUCUUAGGACGGGGAGCAAGAGAGGUCAAACCCAAAAGAGAUCGCGUGGAAGCCCUGCCUGGGGGUGAAGCGUUAAAACUUAAUCAGGCUAGUUUGUUAGUGGCGUGUCCGUCCGCAGCUGGCAAGCGAAUGUAAAGACUGACUAAGCAUGUAGUACCGAGGAUGUAGGAAUUUCGGACGCGGGUUCAACUCCCGCCAGCUCCACCA